AGGGGUCUUCCGGUUGGUUGACCCAGCGGAGGGAUCAUUA
rnacentral:rRNA from 1 species